rnacentral:lncRNA from 1 species
UUGACAAACUGAGAGCUCUUUCUUGAUUCUAUGGGUGGUGGUGCAUGGCCGUUCUUGGUUGGUGGAGCGAUUUGUCUGGUUAAUUCCGUUAACGAACGAGACCUCAGCCUGCUAACUAGCUAUGCGGAGGUAUCCCUUCGCGGCCGGGAACCACUAGGAGUGGAGCCUGCGGCUUAAUUUGACUCAACACGGGGAAACUUACCAGGUCCAGACAUAGUAAGGAUUGAGAGAAUGAAAACUCUUUCUUGAUUCUAUGGGUGGUGGUGCAUGGCCUUUCUUAGUUGGUGGAGCGAUUUGUCUUGUUAAUUCCGUUAAUGAAUGAGAACUCAGCCUGCUAACUAGCUAUGCGGAGGUAUCCCUUCGCGGCCAGCUUCUUAGAGGGACUACGGCCUUUUAGGCCGCGGAAGUUUGAGGCAAUAACAGGUCUUUGAUGCCAUUAGAUGUUCUGGGCCGCACGCUCGCUACACUGAUGGAUUAAACGAGUUUAUAGCCUUGGCAGGCAGGCCCGGGUAAUCUUUGAAUUUUCAUCGUGAUUGGGAUAGAUCAUUGCAAUUGUUGUUCUUUAACGAGGAAUUCCUAGUAAGCGCGAGUCAUCAGCUCGCGUUAACUACGUCAUUGCCCUUUGUACACACCGCCCGUCGCUCCUAUUGAUUGAAUGAUCCGGUGAAAUGUUCAGAUCGCGGCGACGUGGGCGGUUCGCUGCCCGCGAUUUCGCAAGAAGUCCGUUGAACCUUAUCAUUUAGAGGAAGAAAAAGUCGUAAGAAGGUUUCCGUAGGUGAACCUGCCGAAGGAUCAUUGCCUAAAUCUGCAAGGCAGAACGACCCGCGAACUUGUUUAAAAAUUGGGGAGCGGUACGGUUGAGAUGCUUCGGCCUCCAUCUGUGCGGCUUCCUCCUACAUCCUCGACGCGCGUGCUCGUGUGCGUGCCAGGUGAUUAACAAACCCUGGCGCGGAAAGUGCCAAGGAAUACUAACUUGUGCUUCUUUUGAAACAAAAACGAUUCUCGGCAACGAAUUUCUCGGCUCUUGCAUCGAUGAAGAAUGUAGAGAAAUGCGAUACUUGGUGUGAAUUUUAGAAUCCCGUGAACCAUCGAGUUUUUGAACGCAUGUUGCGCCCGAAGCCAUUAGGCCAAGGGCAUGUCUGCCUGGGCGUCAUGCAACGCGUCGCCCCUGCACAUCGCGGCCAUUCUCAAGGUCGCGGUGCUGACGUGGGACGGAUACUGGCCUCCCGUGCAUCUCGAGCGUGCGGUUGGCCUAAAUGCAAGUCCACAGUGACAGACGUCAUGACAAGUGGUCGUUGAAACUCAACUCUCGUAAUGUCGGAGCUCCAACCCGUCGCAUGUUUGGGAUCCCGACCCUUAUCGCGCUUAGACGCUCCGACCGCGACCCCUUGUCAGGCGGGACUACCCGCUGAGUUUAAGCAUAUCAAUAAGCAGAGGAAAAAAAACUUACAAGGAUUCCCCUAGUAACGGCGAGCGAACUGGGAAGAACCCAACAUUAGAAUCGAGCAGCUCCGUCGUCCGAUUUGUAGUCUGGAGAAGCGUCCUCAGCGGUGCACCGGGCCCAAGUCCCCUGGAAGGGGGUGCCAGAGAGGGUGAGAGCCCCGUUGUUCCUGGACCCUGUCGCACCACGAGGCGCUGUGUACGAGUCAGGUUGUUUGGGAAUGCAGUCCAAAUCGGUCGGUGAAUUCCGUGGCAAGGCUAAAUACGGGCGAGAGACCGAUUGCGAACAAGUACCGCGUGGGAAAGAAGAAAAGGACUUUGAAAAGAGAGUCAAAGAGUGCUUGAAAAUGUCAGGAGGGAAGCAGAUGGGAGCUGGUGAUGCGCCCCGGUUGGAUGUGGGACGGUGUUGAGCUAGUCCGUCGAUCACUUCAGGGCGUGGACCCGCGUGGAUUGGGGGGGGGGAAGCCCAGGAUUUUGAUAUGCUUGUGGAACAUCGUCUCCUCGAUUGUGGUAGGCAGCGCGCCUCUGGAGUCUGACAUGUGUGCAUGUCAAUGGUCGAAUAAACCCGUAAGGCGUAUGGAAGCUGAUUGGUGCGAUCCCCCUGAGGGGUGCACCGCCGAACGACCUUGAUCUUCUGUGAAGGGUUCGAGUGUGAGCAUACCUGUCGGGACCCGAAAGAUGGUGAACUAUGCCUGAGCGGGGCGAAGCCAGAGGAACCUCUGGUGGAGGCCCGCAGUGAUACUGACGUGCAAAUCGUUCGUCCGACUUGGGUAUAGGGGCGAAAGACUAAUCGAACCGUCUAGUAGCUGGUUCUCUCAAAAGUUUCCCUCAGGAUAGCUGGAGCUCGCGUGCGAGUUCUAUCGGGUAAAGCCAAUGAUUUGAGGCAUCGGGGCGCAACGCCCUAAACCUAUUCUCAAACUUUAUAUAGGUAGGAUGGCGCGACUACUUUGUUCAGUCGUGCCACGGAAUAAAGAGCUCAAAGUGGGCUAUUUUUGGUAAGCAGAACUGGCGAUGCGGGAUGAACUGGAAGCCGAGUUACGGUGCCAAACUGCACGCUAACCUAGAUCCCACAAAGGGUGUUGGUCGAUUAAGACAGUAGGAUGGUGGUCAUGGAAGUCAAAAUACGCUAAGGAGUGUGUAACAACUCAUCUGCCGAAUCAAAUAGCCCCAAAAAUAGAUGGCGCAUAAGCGCGCGAUCUACACCUAGCCGUCAGGGCAAGUGCAAGGCCUCGAUGAGUAAGAGGGCGCGACGAUCGCCGCAAAAUGUUGGGCGUGAGCCUGGGUGGAGCGACCGUCGUUGCAGAUCUUAUUGGUAGUAGAAAAUAUUCAAAUGAGAACUUCAAAGGCCGAAUAAGGGAAAGUUUCCAUGUGAACGGCAUUUGCACAUGAGUUAGUCAAUCCUAAGGGUCAGGGGAACCCCGACAAAUAGCACGUUUCACGCGUACUCUAUUAGGGAAUCGGGUUAAAAUUCCUGAACCAAGACGUGGCGGUUGACGACAACGUUAGGAAGUCCGUAGACGUCGGCGGGGGCCUCGGGAAGAGUUAUUUUUUUUGUUUCACAGCCUGCCCACCCUAGAAAUGACUCAGUCAGAGGUAGGGUUCAGCGGCUGGAACAGCACCGAACGUCAUGUGGUGUCCGGUGCCCCCCGGCAGCCCUUGAAAAUCUGGAGAACCGAGUGUCAUCCACGCCCGAUCGUACUCAUAACCGCAUCAGGUCUCCAAGGUGAACAACCUCUGGUCGAUGGACCACUGUAGGCAAGGGAAGUCGGGAAAAUGGAUCCGUAACAUCAGGAAAAGGAUUGGCUCUGAGGGCUGGGCACGGGGGUCCCAGUCCCAAACCCGUCGGCUGUUGGUGGACUACUCGAGCUGCUCCCGCGGUAAAGGUGGGUCGCCGCGUGCCUGCCGGGGGACAGACUUGGAACGGUUCCUUCGGUGGCCUUCCCCGGGAGUCCAACGACCAACUCAGAACUGGUACGGACAAGGGGAAUCCGAGUGUUUAAUUAAAACAAAGCAUUGUGAUGGUUCCUGCAGAUGUUUACACAAUGUGAUUUCUGCCCAGUGCUCUGAGUGCCAAAGUGAAGAAAUUCAAGCAAGCGGGGGUAAACGACGGGAGUAACUAUGACUCUCUUAAGGUAGCCAAAUGCCUCGUCAUCUAAUUAGUGACACGCAUGAACUGUCCCUGUCUACUAUCCAGCGAAACCACAGCCAAGGGAACGGGCUUGGCAGAAUCAGCAGNNNNNNNNNNNNNNNNNNNNNNNNNNNNNNNNNNNNNNNNNNNNNNNNNNNNNNNNNNNNNNNNNNNNNNNNNNNNNNNNNNNNNNNNNNNNNNNNNNNNNNNNNNNNNGUAGACCGCAAGGGAACGGGCUUGGCAGAAUCAGCAGGGAAAGAAGACACUUUUGAGCUUUACUCUAGUUCGACUUUGCGAAAUGACUUGAGAGGUGCAGUAUGAGUGGGAGCCGAAAGGCGAAUGUUAAAUACCACUACUUUUAACGUUAUUUUACUUAUUUUGAUAAUCAGAAGCGGGGCACUGCCCCUCUUUUUGGACCCAAGGCUUGCUUACAGGCCGAUUCGGGCGGAAGACAUUGUCAGGUGGGGAGUUUGGCUAGGGUGACACAUCUGUUAAAAGAUAACGCAGGUGUCCUAAGAUGAGCUCAACGAGAACAGAAAUCUCGUGUGGAACAGAAGGGUAAAAGCUCGUAUGAUUCUGAUUUCCAGUACGAAUACGAUCCGUGAAAGCGUGGCCUAACGAUCCUUUAGUUCUUCGGAAUUCGAAGCUAGAGGUGUCAGAAAAGUUACCACAGGGAUAACUGGCUUAUGGCAACCAAGCGUUCAUAGCGAUGUUGCCUUUUGAUCCUUCGAUGUCGGCUCUUCCUAUCACCGUGAAGCAGAAUUCACCAAGUGUUGGAUUGUUCACCCACCAAUAGGGAACGUGAGCUGGGUUUAGACCGUCAUGAGACAUGUUAGUUUUACCCUAUUGAUGACAGUAUCGCAAUAGUAAUUCAACCUACUACGAGAGGAACCGUUGAUUCUCACAAUUGGUCAUCGUGCUUGGUUGAAAAGCCAGUGGCGUGAAGCUACCGUGCGUUGGAUUAUUACUGAACGCUUCUAAGUCAGAACCUGGGCUUGAAGCAACUCAUGCGCCCGCCUUCCGCUUGCCGACCCGUAGUCGGGGACUUUGGCCCCCAAGGGCUCGUGACGUUUGCUAAGUCAUCGCGGUGGAAGAGACGCGGUGGCCGCCUUGAAGUACAAUUUCCAUCGAGCGGCGGGUAGAAUCCUUUACAGAUGACUUAAGUACGCGAGGGGGUAUUGUAAGUGGCAGAGUAGCCUUGCUGCCACGAUCCAAUGACAUUCAAACCUUUGUCGCUUUGAUUCGUCCCUACCCCUCAAAUCCAAUCUUUUUCUAACUUUUUCGAUAAAAGGUUCACUCCUACCUUGAUGCUAUAUUAUACUAAGUGUUUGAAAAAUCGAACAAGUCCUCAAGACCUUGGAACAUAUACUAUUUGUGCAAUAAUUGGACAAUGUGACGUGACACUUAGUCACAUCGAGGGAAAUACCAAACCAAAUAACACAACUAGAGGCGUUUCGGGGUGUCUCUUGAGAGGUCGAGGCCUAUGCCAAGUAUUUUCGAGGUGUCGCUUGAGAGGCCAAGGCCUAUGCCCCAAGCAUAAGGCGUGGACGUGGAAUGAGUUAGGACGUCCCAGGACAUGGCGGGGCGUGGCCAUGGCACGGGCUAGGACGUGUCAGUAUGUCGCGGGACAUGGAAGGACACGAGUCGAGACGUGUCAGGACGCAUCAGGACAUGGCCAUGGAACGUGUCAGGACGCGUCAGGACAUGGCAGGGCCUAGCCAUGGCACGAGUUAGGACAUCGCAGGACAUGGCAGGGCGUGGCCGUGGCACGAGUCAGGACGUCGCAGGACGCGUCAGGACAUGGCGAUGGCACGUGUCUGGAUGCGUCAAGACAUAGCAGUGGCACGUAUUAGGACGCGCUAGGACACGACAGGUCAUGGCAUGACUCAAGACGUCGCAGGACAUGGCACGAGUCAGUACGUUGCAGGACGCGUCAAGAUAUAGCCAUGGUAUGUGUCAGGACGCAUCAGGACAUGGCCAUGGCACGUGUCAGGACACGUCAGGACAUGGGCCAUGGCACAAGUCGGGACGUCGCAGGACAUGGCAGGGCGUGGCCAUGGCACGAGUCGGUAUGUCUAAGGACGCGUCAGGACAUGGCCAUGGUACGUGUCAGGACGCGUCAGGACAUGGCAGUGGCACGUGUUAGGAUGCGCUAAGACAUGCCGGGAGUGGCCAUGGAAUGACUCAUGAUGUCGCAUGACAUGGCAGGGCGUGGCCAUGGCAUGAGUCAGGACAUCGCAGUACGUGUCAGGACAUGGCCAUGAUACGUUUCAGGAAGCAUCAGGACAUGGCCAUGGCACGUGUCAGGACGCGUUAGGACAUGGCAGGGCGUGGCCAUGGNNNNNNNNNNNNNNNNNNNNNNNNNNNNNNNNNNNNNNNNNNNNNNNNNNNNNNNNNNNNNNNNNNNNNNNNNNNNNNNNNNNNNNNGGGGACGUCGCAGGACAUGGCACGGCGUGGCCAUGGCACGAGUCAGGACGUCGCUGGACGCGUCAGGCCAUGGUCAUGGCACGUGUCUGGACAUGGUAGGGCGUGGCCAUGGCAGGAGUCAGGACGCACAGGAUAUGGCAGGAUAUGGCCAUGGUUCUUGUCAGGACGUGUUAAGACAUGGCUAUGGCACGACGUCGCACCAAGCCGCACCACGUCGCUCCAAGCCGCACCACGUAGCUCCAAGCCGCACCACGUCGCACCACGUCUAUUUCUAGCCAAUGCUUAGAAAUAUGUCAAGCGCAAUGAUGUUGGUGAUCGUUGGAGGCGGUGGUGGAAAUUCGGGGUGGUUCGAGCAAUAGCGUCCGGCGACGGUCGAUCAACGCUUGGUGGUUGGCGGCGGUUGCUUCAAAUCCUAAUCACUUUUUGUGGUCGGGCAACAUGUCAAGCGCAAUGAUGUUGGUGGUCGUUGGUGGCAGUGGUGCAAAGUCGCGGUGGUUCGAGCGGUUCCACCGGCGACAGUUGGUUGACACUUUGUGGUUGGCGGUGGUUUUUUCAAAUCGGAAUCCCUUGUUGAUUGUUGCAACAAUGGAGGUGCCUCGUGCUUAUUGGCGGUUGGUCAUUUAUAUGAUUUUAUUAUAAUAUUAUGUAUUUUUCCUAUUUUUUAAUAUAUGUUUUAGUAAUUUUUAUGCUUUUUUUGUUAUAUUAAAUUAUUUUUAUGUCACAUUUUAAUAAAAAUAUUUACUAUUUUAUAUGUUAUUCUAUUACAAGAUGUAUUGGAAUUUUUCUCCAUCAAUGUUUCUAUUUUUAUAAUAAUUUUCAUAUUUUUUAGUAUUUUAUUAAGUAUUUUUCGUUUUUACAUUGGUUUGUGCUAUUUAUGUUGUACAUGUCAAUUAUGUUUCUCUAGCCAAAACAUGUCUACUCCUGAAACUUGGGUUUUUAUUAAGCAUAUAUAAGAUGGGUAGAGGUGUUAAGAGGUACCUCACGUGCUUGCUGCCAGGAAGGGGCGGGAAUGCAUAGGGGACGCUAGCAUGGGGCGUGGGCAUUUGGAGCAUGCACGACUUGUCUGUGUCACGUACUCGAUUUUCCCAAACCGCGCCAGCAAGUACUUGUGUAGGCUUUUAGUACGCCUUGUGGUGGCACCGCUCGUGGCAAACAUUGGCUUUUGGCAAAGAACGGUGGAGCGUCAUGCAACUAGAGCCGCAAGAUGCCGUGCGCAUGGGACGUAGCUCAGUACUUAUUGAUCGCCAUUGGAUGUUGCGGGCAAAAUCGAGAGGCGACAUCUCUCGUGGUGGCUGAUGGCUUUUGACAACAGAACGGCAAAGCAUCGUGCAAGUAGCGCCGCAAGGUGCUGUGCGCAUGGGGCGAAGCUUAGUAAGUUGUUGAUUGCCAUUAGUUGUUGUGAGUUGUGUUUGGAAUCUCUCGUGGGGCUGAUGGCUUUCGACAACGAACGACGGAGCAUCGUGCAAGUAGCACCGCAAGGUGCCGUGCGCAUGGGGCGAAGCUCA